GCCUAGAGAGGGUUUUAUGUCCUAUCAGCUUGUUGGUAGGGUAAUGGCCUACCAAGGCAAAGACGGGUAGCCGGUUUAAGAGGAUGGUCGGCCACACUGGGACUGAGACACUGCCCAGACUCCUACGGGAGGCUGCAGUCGAGAAUCUUUCGCAAUGCCCGAAAGGGUGACGAAGCGACGCCGCGUGUGGGAAGAAGGCCUUCGGGUUGUAAACCACUGUCGGGAGUUAAGAAAUGUAAGGGUGUUAAUAGCAUCCUUACUUGACUAAGGCUCCGGAGGAAGCCACGGCUAACUCUGUGCCAGCAGCCGCGGUAAUACAGAGGCGGCAAGCGUUGUUCGGAAUUAUUGGGCGUAAAGAGCACGUAGGCGGCUUUGUGAGUCAGUUGUGAAAGCCUUCCGCUUAACGGAAGAACAGCAUCUGAUACUGCAAGGCUAGAGUGCGGAAGGG
rnacentral:rRNA from 1 species